rnacentral:lncRNA from 1 species
UACACUCGUCCUGCUUCUCACAAAAUAGGUCUGAAGUCUUAUAUACAGUCUAUGGUUGAGAUGCAGACUGCACACGUCUUUUAAUUAUACUUCUGCUAAUAAUAAUGUGAGUAUGAGUGUGACUUUAUUACUACUUAUAUGAUAACUACUAUAUACAUCCCUUCUUUAUUUCCUGUACUUAAAGUUUAUUGUCAGCUUUAUACAAGUUUUGUACAAUUAAAGGUAAUUUUUCAGCUUCUUUCUACGUUUCCUACAAAUGUGUUUUAUUUGUAUAUGUGCAGGACAAAUAUACGACCCUAACGCUUAGCCAGCAGGUGACCAGUUUUUAAAGUUGUGCUGACAUUCGGCUUAUUGACACAGACACGCACGCAAGCGUGCACACGCAAGUAAAUAAACAUUCUUUGGCAGCAUAAUACCGUCAUGUGUUUUCAAGUGUCACAUUUCCGAGUGUUCCUGAAUGUCUCAAAGACGUCAACUGUGUGUCUGUGUGAACCCACGGUAUUCUGUGUCAGACUCUGCUCAGGUAAGUCGAUGCACAGUCUCUGUUAAUGUCCAGACACUACAAAUGAGGAUUUAACGUUUCUACAUGACACUGGUUUGAGUUAUAUUCGAUUAAGAGGAUGUGAGAGGUCGAGAUAUUGACUUGAAAAUGCGUAAAGUACAUAUGAUACUGUUAAACUAUAUGACGCUAAAGCUAUUAGCGUCGAGCUAACGCUAAAGCUAACAACAUACUACUAAUAAGGCUGAGUCAUGUGCUUGCUGAAAUACACAAUAUUGACUCAAUAUGUGAGCUGGCGUCAUGUUAUACACCGUGCCAGCUAAUAUUUACUUUAUAAAGUUCAUCAAUGUGACGGGGUGUAUUGCUAUUGAAGAGCAUUUGUUAAUGGGAGACGAUUGUGUCUGUAGCGCCGUUGCUAAAGGUAACACACUGUUGAUUACUGUUACUCUGUCAUAUUAACAGCUGGGUAAUUGACACGGGGAUGUUAGCUGUUAAGCUCCUGAUUACUUUCUAUCAAUUUUGUAGAUGUUUUUGCUAAUAUAGGUUAUCUUUACCAAGCACCUAGUUGUAACACAUUUGAAAUUAUAUUUUUUUAUGUGUUAAAAUUAUACAACAUGCUCUUCUAUUUAUUGAGGGGGUUAUUCAUGAUGGUAAUGAUACAGAUAUUUACAAUGUCAAACAUCACAUUAUCUACAUAUGUGUUCUACAACCACAAGUUCAAAUGAAUAUUGAUUUAAUGGAUGGGUUGUAAGCUGCCUUGAAACUUGUGAACCACCUUCUCCUCUGUUUUUGCUUCAGUAGCUGAUGCUGAAAUUUAUCUACUACUGUACCAUACGUUUACUUUAUAUGAGUUUGAAAUACUUCAUAAAAGGUGUUCUGUGACAUUUUAAGCUGCAGCUAACAGUGAGGUGAUGUUUUAGAGCUGUUUCAUUUUCUAUUACUAUUAUGACUGUAAUAAUGUUGCUUUUCUCAUAGGCCUGCUGUUUUAAUGAACUAUGUAUCUGACAGAUAGCACUAAUGUAUUGUUUUUUGUCUCAAACAAACAGAAGAUUAUACCACUCCCGUGCGUUUAUUGGUAAGUACAAGUGUUAUUACCAAAAGUCACAUAAUACUCUAAAAAUUAGCUGGAUAAAUGUUUUGCUUUAUCCUGGUAAACAAGAACUCAUGAAACAUAUAUUUCAACAGAUGAUGCAUCUAAUAAAGACUGACUUUAAUUAGAUAUUAAAUGUUGAUCUUUCUGUAUCACUACUGCAUAUCCUAUAAUAUAUAUAUAUAUAUAUGUACAUAUAUAUAUAUAUAUAUAUAUAUAUAUAUAUAUACAUAUAUAUAUGGGAUACAUUUUUUCCUGGUGGACAACUGUGUUAACAAUAUUACCACACAACUACAUUUGUUUAUUCAAAACAUUUGAACUUGCUGGGAAAGUGUGACUUGAUUUUCAUAAUAAUGAUGAGGGAAAAUCUUUUGGGAAAAUGAGUGAAUGAAGUGAGCUGUGAGGUUGUUUGUUGUAAAGAGUAUUAAAUAUCUGUUUUUCUCCCUCAUUCCCUCCUCCUGCAUUGUGUUUUCCUCUGACCUUUGCCAAACCCACCUUUGAACUCUAAAGCGUAAUUUCACAGUUAUAUCCACUUAAGUUAUCACUGUAAUGUCAUAUUAUUUAUCUGCAGUCUGUAAUGACAAUUUACUGUUUGGAUUUCAUCUUAAUUAUAGACAUAAGAGAGUAAAUAGUGAAAAGGCUUUUUCAUUGUGUAUGACAUGUUUUCUACAUUUUAAGCUUCAUGUUUUUCAGGCCAAGGUUGCUUCACUAUAAUCUUUCCAAUAAUUAUGUGGUAUAAUACAUGAACUUGGAUAAGAAAUGACAAAACUAAUGAUUGUCAAUGAAAAAUGGUUGUGCCUCCAAUUAAGUAUGACAUAAUGAUUGUUUGGCAACUACAUUUACAUUUACAUUUUCUUUCUCAAUAAUUUCACUGCUUCUGAAAUUGGCUAUUCUAUCUCUUUAAUGCAGACCAUUGCGGCCAACUCAGCUGAAAGUUCACUAACACAAAUACAUGUUAAUGUGUGAAUACUGUUACUGUUUACAACACAUUAUGUAAAACCCUACAUCAUGUCAUAAUUUCACGAACUGCUGCAUCUUUUUACUGAAUUGUAACGUUAACCAUUUAAAACUUUGCUUUAUCUUAAGUUAAGCUGAAACAAAUGUUAAUACUUUUGCUGCUUGUUAACAAUUGAACGUAUAUUAUAGUGUAAUGUUUCCUUUUUUGACAAUUAAACUCUAAAUGUUUCAUCUCUAUUUUUCCAUUUCCCCCCUUAGUGACUCCACCUUGUGUUUAACUGCAGACCGCUUGCCAGUCAGUGUAAGUUUAUACAUGAAUGACAUUUUUAUGAAUAUGACUGUGUGCCUUUAUUGUACACAUUUUACACACACCUCUCUUUCUGUACUUUCUACACAAUUGAGGUUACUUUCAUACACAUAAUAUUUGAUCACAUGCUUAUGAACAUUAUUAUUAAGGCAAUUAACAUUGAAUUAUAUCACCAUUCAAGAUAAGUGGGUGAUGCAUCUUUUCGUAAAAUACACUGAGGUCGUACAUACAUUUCUUCAUCUAUUUAGUAACAUUUUAGAUGUUCAGUCCUGAUACAUUUUUGAAAAGAUGAUCAAAUAACAUAAUGCUCAGUUUCAGCAUUUGACUCAACUAGACUUUGAAUAGAUGUGUAGUCAAAAUUGCCAUAUGUUACUUUGAACGAAAGCACAUUAUAAUGACAUUAGUUUUGGGUGAAUGUCGGUUGAUUUAAAUGUAUUUAUUAUAUUUCAUACAAAUAAUUAAUAUUUAUUUCCAUUUUUCUUACAGAUAUCCUGUACUGUCCCUCCACUCUCUCCUAUCAUUUUGGACAUUCUGCCUUUCUAUCUCUCCUCUAUCCAACUCUGACUAUUUGAACAGCUAUUGCCAGCCUUUACAACCUAUUUUGAAAGCCUUUACCACAGCCUUUGACAGCCUUUAAAAACCGUUGUGAAAGCCUUUAAGAAAGGCUUUAACUGCCUUUGACAGCCUUUCUACCACUUUUAGAGCCUUAAAAACGGGCAUUCAGACACUUUGAGAACACUUUUUGGAAACAAGCUUAUUUUUUUCAACUGAUCGCGUGUAAAAGCAAUACUUUUGAAACAGCAAAAUCUUUGAAACAGCUUACUUUUAAAACAACUACUGUUCUGAAAAAGCACUAAUUUUGCACAAGUGUUAUUGUUCUUGUAGUUCUUCCUUUCCUGUCUGUUGCUCUACAGUUUCACCUGAAGAAGUUUCAUCACCAUCACCGCUCCUGCCUCAUUCAUUUUGAGUUCGAAAAAUACACCUUUAUUAUUUUUGACUUGAAUUUUAUUUUAACAAAAAAGUCCUGACAUCUAAACAUUUGUUAUUGAUUUGUGUUUCUGUUAAAUAAAGUAGUUUCUGAAAACAAUAAAGCAUUUCUGUCCA